AUACGGAGGGUGCGAGCGUUAUCCGGAUUUAUUAGGUUUAAAGGGUGUGUAGGCGGGAGCCUAAGUCAGUGGUGAAAUCUCACAGCUUAACUGUGAAACUGCCAUUGAAACUGGGUUUCUUGAGUAUAGUUGAGGUAGGCGGAAUGUGUAAUGUAGCGGUGAAAUGCAUAGAUAUUACACAGAACACCGAUUGCGAAGGCAGCUUACUAAGCUAUUUCUGACGCUGAUGCACGAAAGCGUGGGUAGCGAACAGGAUUAGAAACCCCAGUAGUCC
rnacentral:rRNA from 1 species